rnacentral:rRNA from 1 species
CCUGGUUGAUCCUGCCAGUAGUCAUAUGCUUGUCUCAAAGAUUAAGCCAUGCAUGUGUAAGCACACACUGUUUUAAAAGUGAAGCCGCGAAUGGCUCAUUACAACAGCCACAGUUUAUUAGAACUUACAAUCAUGGAUAACUGUGGUAAUUCUAGAGCUAAUACACGCACAAAAACUUCAACUGAAUUGGUUGAAGUGCUUUUAUUAGAACAAAAACCGAACGGCGUUUGACGAAUGUUGAACGUCGAAACUGUUUGGUGAAUCUGAAUAACUAUUUCUGAUCGCAUGGUCUAGCACCGGCGACAUCACUUUCAAGUGUCUGCCUUAUCAACCUUCGAUGGUAGUCUAUGCGACUACCAUGGUGAUAACGGGUAACGGAGAAUCAGGGUUCGACUCCGGAGAGGGAGCCUGAGAAACGGCUACCACAUCCAAGGAAGGCAGCAGGCGCGCAAAUUACCCACUCCCAGCUUGGGGAGGUAGUGACGAAAAAUAACGAGACGAUUCUCGUUUGAGAAACGUUAUCGAAAUGAGUACGCUUUACACACGCUAACGAGUAGCAAUUGGAGGGCAAGUCUGGUGCCAGCAGCCGCGGUAAUUCCAGCUCCAAUAGCGUAUAUUAAAGUUGCUGCGGUUAAAACGCUCGUAGUUGAAUUGUGGUCUUAGACAACAGUCCCCCUACAAAGGUGUGGCACGGUUGCUCGAGAUCUUCAUUCGUGGUUGCUGUUGUUGCUCUUCAUUGAGUGUCAAUGGUGCCUCGAGAUUUUACUUUGAAAAAAUUAGAGUGCUCAAAGCAGGUUGUGAUGCCUGAAUAAUGGUGCAUGGAAUAAUAGAAUAUGAUCUCGGUUCUAUUUUGUUGGUUUUCGAACCGGAGAUAAUGAUUGAAAGGAACAGACGGGGGCAUUCGUAUUGCUGCGUUAGAGGUGAAAUUCUUGGAUCGCAGCAAGAUGAACAAUUGCGAAAGCAUUUGCCAAGAAUGUUUUCAUUAAUCAAGAACGAAAGUUAGAGGUUCGAAGGCGAUCAGAUACCGCCCUAGUUCUAACGGUAAACUAUGCCAACCAGCGAUUCGCCGAAGUUCAUUUAAGACUCGGCGAGCAGCUUCCGGGAAACCAAAGUGUUUCGGUUCCGGGGGAAGUAUGGUUGCAAAGCUGAAACUUAAAGGAAUUGACGGAAGGGCACCACCAGGAGUGGAGCCUGCGGCUUAAUUUGACUCAACACGGGAAAACUCACCCGGCCCGGACACUGGAAGGAUUGACAGAUUGACAGCUCUUUCUUGAUUCAGUGGGUAGUGGUGCAUGGCCGUUCUUAGUUGGUGGAGCGAUUUGUCUGGUUAAUUCCGAUAACGAACGAGACUCUACCCUAUUAAAUAGUGACAGUAUUGUAUUUUUUGUGCUGAUCACUUCUUAGAGGGACUGGCAAAUUGAAAGCUGCACGAAAAAGAGCAAUAACAGGUCUGUGAUGCCCUUCGAUGUCCGGGGCUGCACGCGCGCUACAAUGAAAGCGUCAACGUGAGUUACGUCCUUACCUGAAAAGGUUUGGCAAUCGAAUGAAACGUUUUCUUGAAUGGAAUAGGGAAUUGCAAUUGUUUCCCUUGAACGAGGAAUUCCCAGUAAGCGUGAGUCAUUAGCUCGCGUUGAUUACGUCCCUGCCCUUUGUACACACCGCCCGUCGCUACUACCGAUUGGAUGAUUUAGUGAGGUGUUUUGACUGGCGCCAGUAGUCGGAUAUGUAUUCGGCUUCGCGCCGGGAAAUUUCCCAAACCAAAUCAUCUAGAGGAAGUAAAAGUCGUAACAAGGUUUCCGUAGGUGAACCUGCGGAAG